ensembl:lncRNA
CCUGAACUCCACCCGGACUCUAUAGACUAGGGGGCGGGGAGGAGUAGGAACCCGUGCUGGGGAGCUGCAAAGAUGCCGCAGGACACCAGGGAAGGCGACGGAAAGUUCGGGAAGAAAAGAGAAAUCCAACAGGGAAAUCACUUACCAGCCCGGGCGCGAGACCACUUCUCCCUGCGGGGCGACUUGGGCUCAAUCUGUGCGUGCCAGCAAGCCUGCGACCAACCGCCGCCGCCGCAGUUCGCCGCCGAGUGCUGCCGCCUGUUUCGAAGGAGCCAAUCAGAACCGGGGGCGUGGUCUGGACGCCCUGCCUCCAGAGGCUUUCCACCGCACACUGGAUUCGUAGGUCCUCUCCGCGUCCGUUCUGCUCCGUCAGUGGCAGCGACAACCCCUCCCGUCUGUCCCGUCGUUCAGGAGAGUGUAUGAACCCCGCCUCUCAAAGCUGCUUCAGAGCACCCUGGAAUGUUGCUCUUCCCAGGAGUUUGAGUUCCUUCCAACCCCAAAAUCUGCUCACGUCCGGAUAGGCACCGAGGUUUCCAGAAAUACAAACCAACCCAGCAGGGGCCUGUCCUAAGCAGAAGUCUUUCAGACAGAGCCCACCCCCACCCCCUUUCAGUGAAAGAGGGAGAGAGGAACCCUGCAGUCACCCCUGGAUGCCAAAAGAGGAUGUUGGCCUUUCCUUCAGGAAACAUGGGGGAGGGGAGAUCUGGAUGUCAAAGCAACAAUGUAACCAUGUGAUUGUUACACUGUACUUAUAGAUGUGAGUUAACUUCAAAAGUGACCUUUUGAUGUGUUCUGAUCAGUACUGGCUAAAAGCCUGGAGGCUCUGCAUUCUGGCUUAAGCUCUUAGAUUCCUGCGGCUUCUGUUCCUUUUAAGCCGUGACACCUCAGAGGUUCAUGCUUCUCCAUCUCUAAAAUGUGGGUAUUGAACUGAAACCUGGUCUCUCACGAAAACAAUACAGCACACUGUUGCUUUCACAACGAACAAAACAAUCUCAGUCUUCAAACGGUCGGUCGAGGGGUAUGAAAUUGGAAGUCUGCGAAGCAGGGAGAUGCUCAGAGGUUUGGAAGUGGCUGGAUCUUGAAGGUACAGGAAGAAUCUGACAGAGGAAGUCAUUACUAUGAAAGAAUAGUUCCUAGGCAGGAGGACCAACAAAUGCAGGACCUUGGGAGAUAUAUGGAACGUUCUGGAAGUAAUUGUUUUGAGUAACCAAAGUUUGGACCUGGAGGGACAGCAGUAGCAGUCUGAAAAUGUGUGUGAGAAGGACGGCCUGGUAGAUUCUGAGGAACGUAGGUGCCCUCCUGGAGGCCCGUGAGAUGAUUAGAAGAAUAUAAAGAUAGAAUGAGUAAAUUUGCUUGUUUUAUUAAGGGGAGGACUUGUUCAUUUUCAAGGAUUUCAAAGAAGUGAGCAGAAUGGUUUGUCAUUAAAAAAAAAAAAACCAACCUAAAAUGACAACUCCCUAAAGUAGCUCAGAAGGUGGGUGUGAAGGAAGUGUCUAGAAGGACCUAAGAGCGUGAUUUAUCUGGUCUUGGUUAUUAUGUGGUGGCACCGGUCUUAGGAAUAUAGGAAAAACAAGCCUCGGUAGAGGACCAGCGUGCCUUUUCACUGGGUGUAUUCAGUUUGAAGUGGGAGCCAAGCAUGGGGGUAGAGAUAUUCCGAUAACAGCUGAGUUGACUGGAACUACUUCACUCCAUCUAAGCAGAAGAUAAGGAUUAGAGAUGCUCUGCGUCAGGCUCUGUCCUAAGCACUAGGGAUCCUGCUCUCCCGGGAUUCUAAGUGGAGAAGGCCAUCAUUAAAAAUUGACAAACGUGACAAAUGGACUUGAUGAUAUCAGCCUGUAGUUGUUCCUGUUUCUUUGCAUCCUAAUUGCAGUCCAUCUGAGAACUCUGCUGACUGCUGCAGCAGCAGAAAUUUACAGAGUCUGUUAAAAUCACCCUGUGUUUCCCAAUAUUUCUAUUUAAAAUCACGGGGCUAUUUAUAUGCCUCCUUAUUUAGCCAGAUUUUGAUGCUUUAAAUUAAAUAUCAAAAGACGUGCACUUCUCUAUAAAACCUUAAGGAAACUCUAAGUCCCCAGCACCAAAAAAGGUUUUAAUUAAUUAAUAAUAAGUAAAUUGUGCUAUGUAAAUCUUGAGUCACUGCUUGUGCCUAAAUAUUUGAAUACUAUUAAUUUAAAACUGAAACUGUACUCAGUGGAAAUGCAAGUGGUCUCCCUCUACGCACAGCCCUUAGCAUUUUUAAGUCACUUACUGAAACCUUGCAGCAGCUCCUUUAAGGCCUGCUUUCUUCUCAUUCCCCUGUCUAUUUGAUUACAUGCGACAUAGGACAGUGUGGUAGCCAAUGUUCCAGGGGCUGGAGAUCUGUCCAAGUCAGUCCCCUCAGCUUAUCCCUCAGUGGUUAAGUAUGGAUUUAGACGAUAAACCCCCUUCUAGAUCCUUCUGUGUAACCCGCUUCUCUCCCACUUCCCUUAAAGCCUGCCUUCCCUUGUUUCAUUCACAAAGUCACAUGCACAUUAGUUCCUAAUUAUCACUCCAUGCCCUAAGUACACUGACCAGCUUACCUACCUUGAUCUCAGCACGGCAAUUAGCAGUUGAGGCUUCCAUCAAAUAAGCUAUAAUCUACUUUCAUGUGUAGGCUUUCUAAUUGGUGGUUAGGUUAAUAGCCACGUUUUAGAGGUUGUCUCUCUAAUUGAAAUUGGCACAGCUGUAACAUGGGGGGUGCCGAGGGCACACCAGUUCCCUCCCUCCCAUCAGAUAGCAAUGUAUUCAUUCUGACUUCCCAGUUCCGAAACUGUCCCACUUCUGUACCCAUCAUGCUUGGAAGCCUGAGUUUUUUAAUUACGUUACAUUAGGGAGUUAUGCUUCUGGCUAGAAAGCUUUUUCAAAUACAGAGGAUCCUCCAAACAUCCGGUCAUCCAGAAGUAAGGUAUUAUCUCUCUCCAGACCUACAAAGAUGCUUCAGUUCCUUACAGUACACUGUGGGUGGUUUCCACUUUGCUUCGAAUUGGUUUUUCAGACCUUUUGUUUGCAUUUCAGCGCUUUGGAACUGGACGCAAUGCUCUGACAUUUAGUGUCAGUGCUGGAUUGUGUAUUGUGUGGAGCAUUGAGUGAAAUCCCCAGGGGGUUAGACACCUUGACUUGUUCACAGUUAAAUUACACGUUCAGCAGGUGAUCAACUGAGAUCCAAAUACACUAAAAACAAUACUGACCUUUGUGCUACUGUAAGAAUGCUACCUACUUAUGUUAAUAAAUAUAACUAUUUAAGUGCUAUAUAAGUAAUUCACCAGUAUGAUUUUCAUAGCAAUAGUUGUGGCUAAUGUACUGAGUUAAGUAUUGUACACUCCAAUUCAUCGCCACUGG